UUUUCUCUUGUGUUGUGUGUCCCAUGUAUAAUACCGACAACUAUUUCAUUUCCUUCUAUAUCUCUCACACUUAUUCCAAAUCCCUCUCCUCCCAGAAUGUUUUCCUUCCACUGUCUUCACAUUCCGUUAACGCCACCGCCGGUCAAGGUUCUUCAUAUUCGCGCAGACAAACGUCGGCUGGUGGUCAUGUCUCACAAAAUUUCUGUCGACAGAAAGGAAGUUUAUCUUUCUUAUCGUGUGAUUUUGUAUCAUAUUUUUCUUAUUUCAUAUUUAUCUAUCGUAUCUUCUUUAAAACCUUUGUUUAUCUUUAAUUACUCUGUCACUAUUUAUUACCCAUCUACUUAGUAGACAGAAUAAAAAGGUUAAUUAUAAUUCUUGCUACUCUUUUUGUAGAUAUAUUAAUGGACUAAGCAUUUAUUUUUCCUAUUUUGUGUUUUUCUAAUUGUUUCCCCCAAAAUUCAUUUGGAUAUAUAUAAGAAAGAUCAUCCAAUUAUUAGUUUUAUUAAUGUUUUCCAAAUUUUAUUCCUCAAUCUUAGGAAGCGAUUUAAAAAGAUCGUGUGCGAAAAUUUAUCUCAGGAAGUAGGGUUUAUCCACUAAUAUUUAAAGAUUAAUGGAUUCCAUAUGGAAAAUUGAAAGUAUUCUCGGUUUUACAGACGACAAGUCUAUUCCUGGAAUGCCGGACGGUACUUGUUCACAGACGACACGUCCGUCUCUCGCUUUCACAUUUUCUAUAUGACAUCAGGGCACAUUUUCUGUAUGACAUCAACUCCUCUAUCGGUAGAGGUAUGGGUCUUCCAGUACGAUCCCCGCGAUUGAACUCACCACCGUCCUUCCAAACAGUAAUCAAUGGAGUGCGUCAAAUCGGACAACACCUGGAAUCGCGGAGGGAUAUCAUCAUCGGAAUCACGGCGACGGAACUGAAUCACGGUGUUUCACGAAUUGGUUGAUAACAGAACCGCUAUUGCGCAAAUUGCGAUUCCGUCGCGAUUCCACAAUUUUGUUAUAACGCAUCGCGGUUCCAGGUCAGAAUCGCGGAAUCACCAUCACGGUACAGAGGUAAGGAGGUUCUGCAAUGUAAAUAUAACCGGCCGGACUGACUACCCGGAUUCAUAAAUGUAACCGGCCGGUGAUUCCGCAGAACCCCCAUCGUGGUGAUUCCAUGGAAUCGCAGUUCCGUCUUCCAUCCAUGAUUCCACGGAAUCGACAUUCCUACACAACACAACAUCUGUCGAGCUUCACGUAGAAAUUGGACAGCCAGACGUGGCACCUCACGGGAUAUGUAUCUUUCCAAAAACGCGUCCUAUUUUUUUUAUAGGUUCUUUUAUUUGCUUGUUUGGUACUUGGUAGGUAUGAAACCAUUUUCGACGGUUGUCAACUUAUGAUGACUGCGAAUGAAACAUGCAAAUUAAUAUUCAUUGAAAUAUGAAAAAUAAGACGUGUGCGUUAGGUCAGGUCAGG
rnacentral:lncRNA from 1 species